AUUGAACGCUGGCGGCAGGCCUAACACAUGCAAGUCGAGCGGCAGCGGGAAAGUAGCUCGCUACUUUUGCCGGCGAGCGGCGGACGGGUGAGUAAUGCCUGGGAAAUUGCCCAGUCGAGGGGGAUAACAGUUGGAAACGACUGCUAAUACCGCAUACGCCCUACGGGGGAAAGCAGGGGACCUUCGGGCCUUGCGCGGUUGGAUAUGCCCAGGUGGGAUUAGCUAGUUGGUGAGGUAAUGGCUCACCAAGGCGACGAUCCCUAGCUGGUCUGAGAGGAUGAUCAGCCACACUGGAACUGAGACACGGUCCAGACUCCUACGGGAGGCAGCAGUGGGGAAUAUUGCACAAUGGGGGAAACCCUGAUGCAGCCAUGCCGCGUGUGUGAAGAAGGCCUUCGGGUUGUAAAGCACUUUCAGCGAGGAGGAAAGGUUGAUGCCUAAUACGUAUCAACUGUGACGUUACUCGCAGAAGAAGCACCGGCUAACUCCGUGCCAGCCGCCGCGGUAAUAC
rnacentral:rRNA from 1 species